CAGCAAAGAAAUCUCGACAUGAAGAAAUAUCCAAUGUUACACGAAUAAGAGGAGAGCAACUUAGCAAAGAGUGCGACAAUAAGCAUGGUGAAAGUUUUAACAUUGAUGAGAUGAAAAAAGAAAAUCAAACAACUGAAGGCAACCAAAUUUAUGAUA